AUAUGCAGCCAUUGCACCCUGAGAACGCCCCAUCUCAUCUGAUCUGGGAAGCUAAGCAGGGUCGGGCCCGGUCAGUACUUGGAUGGGAGACCAGCUGGGAAUAGCGGGUGCUGUGGGCU
rfam:Columba livia unplaced genomic scaffold scaffold404, whole genome shotgun sequence.